rnacentral:tRNA from 4 species
UGGGCUGUAGCCAAGCGGUAAGGCAUCGGGUUUUGAUCCCGUGUACCCUAGGUUCGAAUCCUAGUAGCCCAGCCA